UGGCUUAAUCUUUGAGACAAGCAUAUGACUACUGGCAGGAUCAACCAGGUAACAAUCCUCUUCGACAUAGCCAAACACGCUGGGACAACCCAUACGUGAAAGACGGUCGUGCAAGAGAAGCGAGAACGCUCAACGAAGGCAAUAAAAGGUUCAUACGAACCAAUGCCCACUUUGGCUUCCAUAUCCAAGAUACCAGCCAUCCAUAAUGAUUCAAACAGUAAACGAUUAGUAACCGACUAUAUGAAUCAAAAAGGAUGCUACAUGGUUCAUCUGACAUUGCAAAUGGCAACGCCUGACGAAAAGCUGCGUUUUUGAUCAAUGUGAUGCCAUUGAUCAGGUAUAAAACACAGGAAACCCGCAUAUACGAACAAGACGAUUAAAGCCUUGCCGCAAAACUGAAAAGGAUUGUACGCGAAGUUGUGUCUGCACAAGCAGGGAGCCAACAACCCGUAUCAAACCAAACACCACUCAUGCACCUUUACGGUAAACAUCCCCGAAGUCGUCAUGGGAUUCAUCCACUCACAAAGCAAAAAAGCUAAGCAAACAAAAGAAAACCAAAAACGGCCCCAAAAUGCACC
rnacentral:misc_RNA from 1 species